GGAGCUUGCUCUUCUUGGAUGAGUUGCGAACGGGUGAGUAACGCGUAGGUAACCUGCCUUGUAGCGGGGGAUAACUAUUGGAAACGAUAGCUAAUACCGCAUAACAAUGGAUGACACAUGUCAUUUAUUUGAAAGGGGCAAUUGCUCCACUACAAGAUGGACCUGCGUUGUAUUAGCUAGUAGGUGAGGUAACGGCUCACCUAGGCGACGAUACAUAGCCGACCUGAGAGGGUGAUCGGCCACACUGGGACUGAGACACGGCCCAGACUCCUACGGGAGGCAGCAGUAGGGAAUCUUCGGCAAUGGGGGCAACCCUGACCGAGCAACGCCGCGUGAGUGAAGAAGGUUUUCGGAUCGUAAAGCUCUGUUGUAAGUCAAGAACGAGUGUGAGAGUGGAAAGUUCACACUGUGACGGUAGCUUACCAGAAAGGGACGGCUAACUACGUGCCAGCAGCCGCGGUAAUACGUAGGUCCCGAGCGUUGUCCGGAUUUAUUGGGCGUAAAGCGAGCGCAGGCGGUUUGAUAAGUCUGAAGUUAAAGGCUGUGGCUCAACCAUAGUUCGCUUUGGAAACUGUCAAACUUGAGUGCAGAAGGGGAGAGUGGAAUUCCAUGUGUAGCGGUGAAAUGCGUAGAUAUAUGGAGGAACACCGGUGGCGAAAGCGGCUCUCUGGUCUGUAACUGACGCUGAGGCUCGAAAGCGUGGGGAGCGAACAGGAUUAGAUACCCUGGUAGUCCACGCCGUAAACGAUGAGUGCU
rnacentral:rRNA from 1 species